AUUGAACGCUGGCGGCAUGCCUUACACAUGCGAGUCGAACGGUAACAGGUCUUCGGAUGCUGACGAGUGGCGAACGGGUGAGUAAUACAUCGGAACGUGCCCGAUCGUGGGGGAUAACGAGGCGAAAGCUUUGCUAAUACCGCAUACGAUCUACGGAUGAAAGCGGGGGAUCUUCGGACCUCGCGCGGACGGAGCGGCCGAUGGCAGAUUAGGUAGUUGGUGGGAUAAAAGCUUACCAAGCCGACGAUCUGUAGCUGGUCUGAGAGGAUGAUCAGCCACACUGGGACUGAGACACGGCCCAGACUCCUACGGGAGGCAGCAGUGGGGAAUUUUGGACAAUAGGCGAAAGCCUGAUCCAGCCAUGCCGCGUGCAGGAUGAAGGCCUUCGGGUUGUAAACUGCUUUUGUACGGAACGAAAAGCCUCUUUCUAAUAAAGAGGGGUCAUGACGGUACCGUAAGAAUAAGCACCGGCUAACUACGUG
rnacentral:rRNA from 1 species